GGGCUGGGCUCAGGGGCAGAGCGCUCCUCUCACACGUGUGAGGUACUGGGUUCGAUCCUCAGCACCUCA
rnacentral:tRNA from 1 species